UAGCAAUGCUAGUGAAGAUGGUGGGUGUGAUUCUACUUGGACUGGCGUCAACCCUCGACUUGGACGGCUGCGAGCACCCGUGGUGGACGAGCUCUUGCUCAAGGGCUGAAACUUAUUCUAAAAUCACAAAACUGACGAGAGGAUAAUGUACGCAAAUAGAGUAGUAAGUUCAGAAAAAAGGUUCAGAACUAAAGAUAAAAAAGGAAUUUUUUAGUCCAGCGUACAACUUUGGAUAAUGACAACGAAAUCAUUCUUUUUUAGUCAAGCACAUACAAGUUUGAUAUUACUAAUGAAAGUUCUAUUUUUUCUAUUUUUUUGGCUGUGUAUACAUCCAAAAUGUAAGGUUUCAUAAAGCUCAGCGAAAUGGUUGUUGAACUGAAGAACAAACUAGGGGAAGGUGGAGAGAACAGGGUACCCGUCUCGGUCAACAGAGCAAAAGAAUGGUGCAAAGUGUGAACAUGAUCUACUGCCAAGAAAAAAAGCAAACAAGAGAAGCACAAACACACUGUAGCACAAUUUAUGUGUUUGCUGCUACUUUUUCCCAUUUGACGGAGGAAGAUGGAGAUGGGGCUAUAAGAUGUUGACUGUCAUUGCCCUUCCAAACAUGUCGUUGGUGUCGAACCAUUCACAGUGAGGUUCAGUCCAUAGGAUGCUCGUGAUCCUUGCUCCUUCAGCUCCACUUCAUCGGUGCCGUCAGUCCGUAGGGGUAGGGGCGGCGUGCCCGUCAACAAACAAG